rnacentral:lncRNA from 11 species
CCAAUUUCUGGGACUAAGAAUAGCAAAGGCAGGGCUAGUUUUUAAGGUAGCCAAUGAGAGAGAAGGGAGGCCUCGAGGAAGAGACACAGACCCGCCCCCCUCGCCCUGCGCGCGCUGCCUCGCGACUCGGAAGUGAGGGCGCGCGCGCUCCGGAAGUGCUGGGCGCUCUCGGAGAGGGACGACGGCCGGGGCCCUUCUGACGCCCCCUUGGCGGGCGCCUGGUAGCAGCAUGUUCCUCACGGCAGCCAAUUUGGCCAGGACCAAAUCCAAGUCACUUUGGGAGCUGUUGCUGUCCAAGACUGUUGCCAUCAUGGAGAAGCCGAAGGAUUUUCACAAAUUUGUCAGGGCACCCGAUUUUUUGGAGGAUGGUCCAGAGAGCGCUACGAUUCACUGUGUCGAAUGCCUUUGCAUGGUCAAUGAGUGCCAUGUACAGAGGUUGGUUUUGUUCCUUGCAUUUCUCUUAGAGCUAUCGUGCAGUAAAGAUCAUGUCCACUAUUCCUCUGGAGGGGUGGAAGCCAUUCUGGGAUUCUGGGAGGGUGUCUUCUGAAACACGGAGAAGGUGGUUUGCAAGGAUUCUUGCCAGGAUUUUCCCAGUGGAGGUUAGAAGGGAGAUACCGCGAUAGUUUCCACAGUCUGUUCUAUCCCCUUUCUUGAAAAGAAUGAUGAUGGUGGCAUCCUUGAAGUCUUCUGGGAUUUUCUCGGUCACCCACACUUUUUCGAUGAGCUGGUGGAGUUGUUGUAUCAGCUCAGGUCUGUUUGAAGAUUUCAGCAGGGAUCCCAUCAGGUCCGCUGGCUUUGUUAUUUUUUUGUUAGCUGAUGGCAUUGCUGACUUUUUCCAAACUAGGCAGUGCUGCAAGCUCAUCUCUGGUUUGUUGUUGCGGGAUUUGUGAGAGGGCCUCUUCAGCCACAUUGGAGCUGCGAUUCAGAAGGUUCUGGUAGUGCUCUUUCCAAUAGUGCAAUUGAUGUUUUGUCCUUCAGAAGUUUGGUUCCAUCUGAUGAGCGUAGAGGCUAUAUGUCAUGGUUUCUUAGUCCGUAGAUGAUCUUUGUGGCUUUGAAAAAUCCCUGAGCAUCAUGGGUGUCUGGCAAAGUGUUGGAUUUCUUCACCCUUCUUUGUCCACCAGAUGUUAUUGAGUUUUCUGGUCCUCCUUUGGACCUCAGCUUUUGCACUAGCAUAGGUCUUUUUCUUAGCAGCACAGCUGGUGUCUCUCUGCCAUGUUUGGAAGGCUUUCCUUUUGUUAUCAAUUAACUGUUGGAUCUCUUUGUCAUUAUCGUCAAACCAGUCUUGAUGUUUCUUAGUUUGAUAUCCAAUGGUUUCUUCACAGGCUGUGAUGAUGGAGGUCUUCAGUUUGUUCUAGUGUUCCUCAACGUUUUCAGGGUGUCCUACGGGAACAUGGCCAUACAGCAUGGAAAACUCACAGCACCCACUGAUUUUGCAGUUUAAUUAACCUUUUCCAUGUUUUUUUAGGCUAAAACUAAUUAGGAAAUCACAUUUAAAACCCAGUAACAAAAAUCCUGUUACAUAGUGUAACAAUCUUCUGCUUGUUUUACCUGAACAUCUGGAUUGGCUUUUUGGUUACUCAUACACUAUUGGUGUAGUAUAUCUAUAAGACAGAAUUUUUUUUAAUAAACAGAUGCUUGUUUUUGCUUGCUUAUCCAUGUGUGUAUACAAACUUGUUAUCCAUGUUUGUCCUCUUGAGUACUCUUUACAACCACCAUCUGGUCAGCAGGUUUUACAUUUCCAUUACAUUUUACACUUCUCCUCUUUCCCCCAUAUCUGCAUAUAUGCUUGUACACCAAGGCUUUAUUCCGUGCAUCUGACAAAUGCCAUGGGUUCACAAAAGCUUUUGCUGAAAUACAUCAGUUGUUGUUAAUGGUGACACGAGACUCCUUCUUUCUCUUUGUAUUGAUACAGAACAAAAUGUCUGUGUUGCUGAGAAAACUAGUUAUAAUUUGGGAACCAUGGCAUUUUUGAGGAAAUCUAAAGCACUAUAUUAAUCAAGUAGAAACACACAGCAAAGGCUGUGAAUUAAAGAUGGCAAUUAUGUGAUCCCCAGAUGUCAAGCCCCAAUUCCCAGCGUUUUUUCACAUUGGGUAUGCUGGCUAAGGCUGUUGAACGUUCAAGAGCCACAUUUGAGGGCCACACAGCUCCCAUCCCUCUAUUAAACUGUAUAUAAAUAUUUCUAUAUCAAGGAUAUUGCAGAAAAACUACAUGAGCUUCUGGCUAAGUACUGUAUAAUAAAAAAUAUUUUGGAGGAAUAAGUAAUAUUAAAAUUAGUUUUUCUUGUAGAGAGCACAGACCUAUGCAAAUAUAAAGUGCUGCGAGGAGGUGGUGGUGAUGGGAAGAAUCAAAACACAGUCUUGUGGUUCAAUUGCAGAACAUUUAUAAAUCAGCCAUCAGUGGAACUGUUGCCAACCACCUGCUGUGUUUGAAAGAUGUCCCUCCAGUUCCUAAUGUCUCAGUGAAAUUAAGAAUGUGCAAAUUAAAGAAAGCUUCAAGGGAACAGAUCUGAACUCAGUCUUCCUCAGCAAGGAAUAGUGAGAAUUGCUCCUGCAGAGGACUGCAGUGUGAGGGUUGUAUCCAACUGGUAUUGUUUGGCUAACGGAAAACUCUAGCAGAUUAUUUUGUCAGUAAAACGUAAAAGUGUCAGUUUUCAAUGAUGUUCUCCCUCUUCUCCUACACAAUUCCCCAUGUUGUUCAAAAAGGUUACCCGACAUGAGUUUUGGGAGGGAGAAGUUGCUGAAAUCACCUCUCUCCCCUUUCUGCUGAUGGAAACUUAAACAGAAUGAUACCAGUUGGAGGCAACCUUAUAGGCUUCAAAUCCCUGCCUUAGCUUGGAGCCCCACUGGGUGACCUUGGGCAAGUCACACUCUCAGCCCCAGAGACAGACAAAGGCACCCUCCCCUGAGGGUGCCUCUCCUUCUUGCAAAGAAAGCCCUGGGUUCACCUUAGGGUUACUGUAUGUCAGAAACAAUUUGAAUGCACACAAGAAUAACAGUGAGGAUUCUGGGGUUCAGCAAGGUUGCUGUAGGGUUCUCUCAAGUACAGGUUUGUUUAUAAGCAUCCAUUUGUUGGAUUUCUUACAACAUUUAGACGUUCAGUUUUAUUCCUGCCAGGCUUGGGUGCAAAAUGGAAUGAAGUGGGAAUAGGAAUUGCAAUGAAAAAUACCAGCAUCUUUGACCUUAAAAGCUCAUAGUGUCAGUAGCUAAGCAUAGGAGAAGCUCAAUGUGUUGUCGAAGGCUUUCAUGGCCGGGAUCACAGGGUUGUUGUAUGUCUUUCGGGCUGUGUGGCCAUGUUCCAGAAGC